UCGAGGGGCAGCGGGGAAAAGCUUGCUUUUCCGCCGGCGACCGGCGCACGGGUGCGGAACGCGUAUGGAACCUGCCCCUGUCAGGGGAAUAGCCCAGGGAAACUUGGAUUAAUGCCCCAUGGUACCAUUAUAUCGCAUGAUAUUAUGGUUAAAGAUUUAUCGGACAGGGAUGGCCAUGCGUACCAUUAGUUAGAUGGUGAGGUAACGGCUCACCAUGGCAGCGAUGGUUAGGGGCCCUGAGAGGGGGAUCCCCCACACUGGUACUGAGACACGGACCAGACUCCUACGGGAGGCAGCAGUGAGGAAUAUUGGACAAUGGUCGGGAGACUGAUCCAGCCAUGCCGCGUGCAGGAUGACUGCCCUAUGGGUUGUAAACUGCUUUUAUACGGGAAGAAACCACCCUACGUGUAGGGUGCUGACGGUACCGUAAGAAUAAGGACCGGCUAACUCCGUGCCAGCAGCCGCGGUAAUACGGAGGGUCCGAGCGUUAUCCGGAAUCAUUGGGUUUAAAGGGUCCGUAGGCGGGCCGUUAAGUCAGGGGUGAAAGUCUGCGGCUCAACCGUAGAAUUGCCUUUGAUACUGGCGGUCUUGAGUCAUGGUGGGGUUGCCGGAACAUGUGGUGUAGCGGUGAAAUGCAUAGAUAUCACAUAGAACACCGAUCGCGAAGGCAGGUGACCAACCAUGUACUGACGCUGAUGGACGAAAGCGUGGGUAGCGAACG
rnacentral:rRNA from 1 species